UACGGGGGGAGCAAACGUUGUUCGGAAUCACUGGGCGUAAAGGGCGUGUAGGCGGCUGAAUAAGUGGGAUGUUAAAUCCCCCGGCUCAACCGGGGACCUGCAUCUCAUACUGUUCAGCUCGAGCACAUCAGAGGAGACUGGAAUUCCCGGUGUAGCGGUGAAAUGCGCAGAUAUCGGGAAGAACACCUAUGGCGAAGGCAGCUCUCUGGGACGGUACUGACGCUGAGACGCGAAAGCGUGGGGAGCGAACAGG
rnacentral:rRNA from 1 species